ACACAUGCAAGUCGAGGGGAAACGACAUCGAAAGCUUGCUUUUGAUGGGCGUCGACCGGCGCACGGGUGAGUAACGCGUAUCCAACCUGCCCACCACUUGGGGAUAACCUUGCGAAAGUAAGACUAAUACCCAAUGAUAUCUCUAGAAGACAUCUGAAAGAGAUUAAAGAUUUAUCGGUGAUGGAUGGGGAUGCGUCUGAUUAGCUUGUUGGCGGGGUAACGGCCCACCAAGGCGACGAUCAGUAGGGGUUCUGAGAGGAAGGUCCCCCACAUUGGAACUGAGACACGGUCCAAACUCCUACGGGAGGCAGCAGUGAGGAAUAUUGGUCAAUGGACGAGAGUCUGAACCAGCCAAGUAGCGUGCAGGAAGACGGCCCUAUGGGUUGUAAACUGCUUUUAUAAGGGAAUAAAGUGAGUCUCGUGAGACUUUUUGCAUGUACCUUAUGAAUAAGGACCGGCUACUUCCGUGCCAGCAGCCGCGGUAAUACGGAAGGUCCGGGCGUUAUCCGGAUUUAUUGGGUUUAAAGGGAGCGUAGGCCGGAGAUUAAGCGUGUUGUGAAAUGUAGACGCUCAACGUCUGCACUGCAGCGCGAACUGGUCUUCUUGAGUACGCACAACGUGGGCGGAAUUCGUGGUGUAGCGGUGAAAUGCUUAGAUAUCACGAAGAACUCCGAUUGCGAAGGCAGCUCACGGGAGCGCAACUGACGCUGAAGCUCGAAAGUGCGGGUAUCGAACAGGAUUAGAUACCCUGGUAGUCCGCACGGUAAACGAUGGAUGCCCGCUGUUGGCCUGAAUAGGUCAGCGGCCAAGCGAAAGCAUUAAGCAUCCCACCUGGGGAGUACGCCGGCA
rnacentral:rRNA from 1 species